rnacentral:rRNA from 1 species
AUUGAACGCUGGCGGCAGGCCUAACACAUGCAAGUCGAGCGGAGCGGCGGACGGGCGAGUAAGGCAUAGGAAUCUGCCUGGUAGUGGGGGAUAACGACCGGCAACAGGCGCUAAUACCGCAUACUAUCAGAUGAGCCUAGGUCUGAUUAGCUAGUUGGUGGGGGAAAGGCCUACCAAGGCGACGAUCCGUAACUGGUCUGAGAGGAUGAUCAGUCACACUGGAACUGAGACACGGUCCAGACUCCUACGGGAGGCAGCAGUGGGGAAUAUUGCACAAUGGGCGAAAGCCUUAUCCAGCCAUGCCGCGUGUGUGAAGAAGGUCUUCGGAUUGUAAAGCACUUUAAGUUGGGAGGCGUUACCAACAGAAUAAGCACCGGCUAACUCCGUGCCAGCAGCCGCGGUAAUUC